rnacentral:rRNA from 1 species
GACGAACGCUGGCGGCGUGCCUAAUACAUGCAAGUUGAGCGCUGAAGGUUGGUACUUGUACCAACUGGAUGAGCAGCGAACGGGUGAGUAACGCGUGGGGAAUCUGCCUUUGAGCGGGGGACAACAUUUGGAAACGAAUGCUAAUACCGCAUAAAAACUUUAAACACAAGUUUUAAGUUUGAAAGAUGCAAUUGCAUCACUCAAAGAUGAUCCCGCGUUGUAUUAGCUAGUUGGUGAGGUAAAGGCUCACCAAGGCGAUGAUACAUAGCCGACCUGAGAGGGUGAUCGGCCACAUUGGGACUGAGACACGGCCCAAACUCCUACGGGAGGCAGCAGUAGGGAAUCUUCGGCAAUAGACGAAAGUCUGACCGAGCAACGCCGCGUGAGUGAAGAAGGUUUUCGGAUCGUAAAACUCUGUUGGUAGAGAAGAACGUUGGUGGGAGUGGAAAGCUCAUCAAGUGACGGUAACUACCCAGAAAGGGACGGCUAACUACGUG